UGGCGACCGGCGCACGGGUGAGUAACGCGUAUCCAACCUGCCCUUUACUAUGGGACAGCCCGUCGAAAGGCGGAUUAAUACCGUAUGUUGUCAUGUUGAUGCAUAUUUUCAUGACCAAAGGCUUCGGCCGGUAAAGGAUGGGGAUGCGUCUGAUUAGCUUGCCGGCGGGGUAACGGCCCACCGGGGCGACGAUCAGUAGGGGUCCUGAGAGGAAGGUCCCCCACAUUGGAACUGAGACACGGUCCAAACUCCUACGGAAGGCAGCAG
rnacentral:rRNA from 1 species